rnacentral:misc_RNA from 1 species
UCCUCCUUACAGAGGCAGUUUGUUCCGAGUCCCCGGCAUUACCCGCUGGUAACAGAACAUGAGGGUUGCGCUCGUUGCGGGACUUAACCCAACAUUUCACAACACGAGCUGACGACAGCCAUGCACCACCUGUGUAGCACCCUCGAAGGCGACCACGUUUCUACGGCAUUCCAGUGCAUGUCAAGCCCUGGUAAGGUUCUUCGCGUUGCAUCGAAUUAAGCCACAUACUCCACCGCUUGUGCAGGCCCCCGUCAAUUUCUUUGAGUUUUAAUCUUGCGACCGUACUUCCCAGGCGGCGCAUUUAUCGCGUUAGCUUCGCCACAAACGGGGUCGAUUCCGUUUACAGCAAAUGCGCACCGUUUACAGCCAAGACUAC